UGGUGAUUGCAUCUGGAAGAGAUACGAUCUCAAUAACUAGCUCCAUUAAAAGAUUGGCAUCUGAUAAUGUUUUUGUUGUCCAGAUUCAGCAUCCAAGGUCCCGUUUGGACAGGUUCGACAUGGUAAUCACCCCCAAGCAUGACUAUUACUCUUUAACUCCUCAAGGAAAGGAACAAGUUCCUCGUUUUCUGCAAAAGUGGAUAACACCCCAAGAACCACCUGAUAAGCAUGUUGUACUUACGGUAGGAGCUCUACAUCAAGUUGAUUUUGCUGCUCUUAGAGCUGCAGCUGCCACCUGGCAUGAAGAGUUUGCACCUUUGCCGAAGCCCUUAUUGGUGGUCAACAUUGGAGGCCCUACAAGAUACUGCAGGUAUGGGGCAGACCUUGUAAAGCAAUUAACAGCCUCCCUUCACAAUGUUCUUGGGAGCUGUGGGAGCAUAAGAAUCUCGUUCUCCAGAAGGACACCAGAAAAGCAUUCCAAAAUCGUGGUCAAAGAGCUUGGUUUGGAUCCAAAAGUACACAUUUGGAAUGGUGAAGAGCCAAAUCCACACAUGGGGCAUCUGGCUUGGGCUGAUGUUUUUGUUAUCACAGCAGAUUCAGUUAGCAUGUUGAGUGAGGCUUGCAGUACUGGGAAGCCUGUGUAUGUAGUUGGAGCCGAACGCUGUACAUGGAAGUUCACAGAGUUCCACAAGACACUUAGAGAGAGAGGACUGACUAGGCCAUUCACUGGACUUGAGGAUAUGUCGGAAAGCUGGAGUUACCCUCCGCUUAAUGAUACCGCAGUUGCAGCUAGCCGUGUGAAUGAAGCUCUUGCUGAGAAAGGAUGGAAGAUUAAAGCAUAAAAAAUCCUUUUGGUCUAAUAUUGUUGUUGUUACAAAUUUUACUUCUCUAUUUACAUUUAUGAUGUGUUCAGAGUUCUUAGUCCAUGUAUUAUGAUUGAUUUAAUUUUACAGGAGGAAAGAAAAGAAGAGAUAUCCAGUUAAAAUCAGAGUUGAACAAUGAGGCUCUUAUUCUUUUUUAACUCAUUGAGGGGGUUUUCCACUUAUAUAUUGACAAAAAUAAAUGUCAAUCUUCAUAUGUAAAGUAGAAGCA
rnacentral:misc_RNA from 1 species